ACUACAUGAAGCUGGAAUCGCUAGUAAUCGCGAAUCAGAAUGUCGCGGUGAAUACGUUCCCGGGUCUUGUACACACCGCCCGUCACACCAUGGGAGGUUGGAAAUGCCCGAAGUCAGUGACCCAACCGCAAGGAGGGAGCUGCCGAAGGCAGGUCCGGUAACUGGGGUGAAGUCGUAACAAGGUAAC
rnacentral:rRNA from 1 species